CAAUGUAUUAUCUGUCAAUUGGCCUUCUAUACCCACUUAUAUAUAGUUAUGUGCCCUGCGUUGUAUAAAAUUUUCUUAGGCAAGAAGGCUCUAGUGUAAUUCACAUGCCAGUACACACCCUGAGACACAGACAUUCAGGUCCUAGACAUCCACGUGUGGUAGUGUGGCCCACCAGCCAUGCCACCUCUGGCUCCACACGCCAGGGUCAGGACACUAACUUGUUGCCUGGAAAGAAUGGUUUCUGUCGCCACAACCCCAGGCUCUUUACCCACUUCCUUCCAAAGGACCUCUCUCUGCCCAGCUCAGGAGGCAGAAGGAAAACCAGGAAGGGAAAAAGCAGCAGAUGCCUGCUUCCCAAGCCUUCCCUCUCACCAGGGAAAGCAAAUGUCUUGUGAUUAAAUGCCAAGUUGUGAACCCCAUGUGAGAGGUGAGGUAGACUCUGGGAUUGGAUGUGGCCGCAGCACCGCGGUGGGUGUUAGACUCUGGACUCUCCCAGCUGAUCUUCCAGAGCAUUUCCUCAGAAUCAGCAGGACUGUGGCUGCAGAGCCAGGUACCAUCCCUGCCUCGAGUCUCUGCCUGAAGGCAAUGCUUUGGAGCUAUGAGGAAAAUAAAUGAGGCCACGAGGCUUGUCUGUGGUGGUCAAGUGCUAGCCCACCUGCCUUCCAGAUUAUCUCCUGUAAACUGUAGUUCUAAAGUCAGACAUCUGAAGCGACGUUGCCCUGGACUACACAGAUCUCUCUUCUAAACAAAGACUUCCGGUCUGGGGAAGGAAGAUGGAGGGGACUUUUAGUCUAUAAAAUUCUGUCCAGGGAGAAGCCCAAGAUCAACAGUGGUUAAAGCCAAAGAGAUCAGAGGUUUGGAGACUCACUGAGAGCGGCAAAUCCCAGCUAUUUCUUGAUCACCUUUCAGAGAUCAAACAUCACACUGCCUUUGCCGGAGCACUCAGAUCCCUCAAAGAGUCUACACACAGCCUUCCCGAUGGCCGGGAGCUUGACGCACUGCCAAGGAUGGAUGUGAGUUUCCAGUUCCUCCGCUUCCACUUCUCACGUGCUGAGAUUACAGCCCACAGUGGCCUCGAACUUGAACUCGCUAAUCUGGUUUUGAUCCGAUCCUCCUGGCUCCUUCCCCCGAGAGCUGGGAACACGGAGGAGCACCACCUCGACCACCUCAACUGGCUCCGUUUGAUUGAUGGUCACAGUCCUCCCUUCCCACUGACAGUCUGGCUGGUGACAUUCUCACAAGGGUGCCUCGUGAGCUUUACUGUGACAGACAGUCUAGCAACUGUGAAACCACUCAGCCCACCACCAGGACUUGGCAAGUGGACAGAGUGGAGAAAAUAAGCAAAAAAGGUGGGUGGGGCCCUCAAGCACCCUGCAAACACCUAUGAAUGACUCCAUUUAAUACAUCCUAGGGAGGACUCUGGAGGGUCAGAACCAAGGCAGGCCUCAGAACCAGGAAGUUACACCCAUGUUCGUAUUUAGAAAACCACGGGGUUGUAAUAGCCAACUUUCUGGGCCUCUGAAUGAAAGAGUCAGUGUGGUUCAGCUGUGAGAGUGUGUGAAAGGGCUCUUUGACACAGCCGCACUCAGCUCUGGCCUUCACUGGGGCCCUUCGUAACACUUCCUAGCUCUGCCAUGGAGGCUACACAGCACACACCCAGACAACAAAUUCU